rnacentral:rRNA from 1 species
UACGGAGGGUGCAAGCGUUAAUCGGAAUUACUGGGCGUAAAGCGUGCGCAGGCGGUUUGUUAAGUCUGUUGUGAAAUCCCCGAGCUCAACUUGGGAAUUGCAAUGGAUACUGGCAGGCUGGAGUAUGGUAGAGGAAGGUGGAAUUCCCGGUGUAGCAGUGAAAUGCGUAGAGAUCGGGAGGAACACCAGUGGCGAAGGCGGCUCACUGGCCCGUUACUGACGCUGAGGCACGAAAGCGUGGGGAGCAAACAGG